AGAGUUUGAUCCUGGCUCAGAUUGAACGCUGGCGGCAUGCUGUACACAUGCAAGUCGAACGGCAGCACGGGCUUCGGCCUGGUGGCGAGUGGCGAACGGGUGAGUAAUGCGUCGGAACGCGCCGAGUAGUGGGGGAUAACGCAGCGAAAGCUGUGCUAAUACCGCAUACGUACUGAGGUAGAAAGUGGGGGACCUUCGGGCCUCACGCUAUUCGAGCGGCCGACGUCUGAUUAGCUAGUUGGUGGGGUAAAGGCUCACCAAGGCGACGAUCAGUAGCGGGUCUGAGAGGAUGAUCCGCCACACUGGGACUGAGACACGGCCCAGACUCCUACGGGAGGCAGCAGUGGGGAAUUUUGGACAAUGGGCGCAAGCCUGAUCCAGCCAUGCCGCGUGUCUGAAGAAGGCCUUCGGGUUGUAAAGGACUUUUGUCCGGGAGCAAAGCCUACUUGUUA
rnacentral:rRNA from 1 species